rnacentral:rRNA from 1 species
AGAGUUUGAUCCUGGCUCAGGAUGAACGCUGGCGGCAUGCCUAAUACAUGCAAGUCGAACGAGAGGAAGGAAAGCUUGCUUUUCUGAAUCUAGUGGCGAACGGGUGAGUAACACGUAGGUAACCUGCCCAUGUGCCCGGGAUAACUUCUGGAAACGGAUGCUAAAACCGGAUAGGUAGCAGACAAGCAUUUGACUGCUAUUAAAGUGGCUAAGGCCAUGAACAUGGAUGGACCUGCGGUGCAUUAGCUAGUUGGUGAGGUAACGGCCCACCAAGGCGACGAUGCAUAGCCGGCCUGAGAGGGCGGACGGCCACAUUGGGACUGAGACACGGCCCAAACUCCUACGGGAGGCAGCAGUAGGGAAUUUUCGUCAAUGGGGGGAACCCUGAACGAGCAAUGCCGCGUGAGUGAAGAAGGUCUUCGGAUCGUAAAGCUCUGUUGUAAGAGAAAAACGACAUUCAUAGGGAAUGAUGAGUGAGUGAUGGUAUCUUACCAGAAAGUCACAGCUAACUACGUGCCAGCAGCCGCGGUAAUACGUAGGUGGCGAGCGUUAUCCGGAAUGAUUGGGCGUAAAGGGUGCGUAGGUGGCAGAACAAGUCUGGAGUAAAAGGUAUGGGCUCAACCCGUACUGGCUCUGGAAACUGUUCAGCUAGAGAACAGAAGAGGACGGCGGAACUCCAUGUGUAGCGGUAAAAUGCGUAGAUAUAUGGAAGAACACCGGUGGCGAAGGCGGCCGUCUGGUCUGUUGCUGACACUGAAGCACGAAAGCGUGGGGAGCAAAUAGGAUUAGAUACCCUAGUAGUCCACGCCGUAAA